rnacentral:rRNA from 1 species
UACAGAGGGGGCAAGCGUUGUUCGGAAUUACUGGGCGUAAAGGGCGCGUAGGCGGCCCUCUAAGUCAGACGUGAAAUCCCCUCGGCUCAACCGGGGAACUGCGUCUGAGACUGGAAGGCUUGAAUUCGGGAGAGGGAUGUGGAAUUCCAGGUGUAGCGGUGAAAUGCGUAGAUAUCUGGAGGAACACCGGUGGCGAAGGCGGCAUCCUGGACCGGUAUUGACGCUGAGACACGAAAGCCAGGGGAGCAAAGCGGG